GCUCCCAUCGUCUAGGGGUCUAGGACACAUGAUUUUCAAUCAUGCGACCGGGGUUCAAAUCCCCGUGGGAGCG
rnacentral:tRNA from 1 species